rnacentral:tRNA from 1 species
AUAGCCUUAAGAUACAAUAAUCUUUAUGUCUUUUAAACAUAGAAAGCUUUUUGCAGGCUGUU